AGCCUCUUCAUUUUGUUUCAGAUAAGUUGUAUUAGAGACCCUAUGGCUGACAACACAUACAAAGAUUUGUGGUUAGCAACUGCAAAGGAAAACUCCCAAAUUUGAUCUUCAAGUGAUAAUGUUAAUGCAAUUGCGGGAUGUUUGGCGACUAGGCCAACUUGGUCAACCGGGUCAGGCGCGGUCAAAGCUGUUCAAAUGGUCAACGUGUGUCAAAUUCUGUCAACCUGGUCAAUCGUUGUCACAGAUGGUUGAGCAUGCUCAAUAUUUGACCCUUGGAAGUGUAGCCAUGUUUGGUCAAGAAGGAAUUGUAAUGGAUUUGUUCGAAAUAUUCUUAGAAAUUAGAUUUGGUUUGCUUAUGAUUUGACUUUUUUCUCAAAGAUGUAAUUAAUUUGGAAAUGUAGUUGUCUUACAACAAUUAGAAACCGGUUUUUACUCAUGAGUGAAUGUAUAAUUCAAAAAUUAUAGCUAAGUUUU